GAUGAACGCUGGCGGCGUGCCUAAUACAUGCAAGUCGAGCGAACGGACGAGAAGCUUGCUUCUCUGAUGUUAGCGGCGGACGGGUGAGUAACACGUGGAUAACCUACCUAUAAGACUGGGAUAACUUCGGGAAACCGGAGCUAAUACCGGAUGAUAUUUUGAACCGCAUGGUUCAAAAGUGAAAGACGGUCUUGCUGUCACUUAUAGAUGGAUCCGCGCUGCAUUAGCUAGUUGGUAAGGUAACGGCUUACCAAGGCAACGAUGCAUAGCCGACCUGAGAGGAUGAUCGGCCACACUGGAACUGAGACACGGUCCAGACUCCUACGGGAGGCAGCAGUAGGGAAUCUUCCGCAAUGGGCGAAAGCCUGACGGAGCAACGCCGCGUGAGUGAUGAAGGUCUUCGGAUCGUAAAACUCUUUUAUUAGGGAAGAACAUAUGUGUAAGUAACUGUGCACAUCUUGACGGUACCUAAUCAGAAAGCCACGGCUAACUACGUG
rnacentral:rRNA from 1 species